rnacentral:rRNA from 1 species
GACGACGCUGGCGUCGUGCCUAAUACAUGCAAGUAGGACGAGUUGCGAACGGGUGAGUAACGCGUGGUAACCUGCCUAUUAGAGGGGGAUAACUAUUGGACACGAUAGCUAAUACCGCCUACUAGUAGAUGGACCUGCUUUGUAUUAGCUGGUAGGUAGGGUAAUGGCCUACCUAGGCGACGAUACAUAGCCGACCGGCGAGGGGGAUCAGCCACACGGGGACUGAGACACGGCCCAGACUCCUACGGGAGGCAGCAGUGGGGAAUAUUGCACAAUGGGCGCAAGCCUGAUGCAGCCAUGCCGCGUGUAUGAAGAAGGCCUUCGGGUUGUAAAGUACUUUCAGCGGGGAGGCGUUACCCGCAGAAGAAGCACCGGCUAACUCCGUGCCAGCAGCCGCGGUAAUUC